GGCCGGGUAUGGUAGCUCAUGCCUAUAAUCCCAGCACUUUGGGAGGCCAAGACACGUGGAUCAUAAAGUCAAGAGAUAGAGAACAUCCUGGUCAACAUGGUAAAACUUAUUCUUUGCUAAAAAUACAAAAAUUAGCUGGGUAUGGUGGUGUGCACCUGUACAGUCAAAGCUACUUG